rnacentral:rRNA from 1 species
GGCCGAAGGUGGGAUUAGUGAUUGGGGUGAAGUCGUAACAAGGUAGCCGUAGGAGAACCUGCGGCUGGAUCACCUCCUUUCUAGGGAGUCGA